GUGCUUGCUUCAGCGGCACAUAUACUAAAAUUGGAAUCAUACAGAGAAGAUUAGCAUGGCCUCUACAUAAAGAUGACUGCAAAUUCAUGAAGCAUUCCAUAUUAAA
ensembl:snRNA U6 U6 spliceosomal RNA